UGGCCACUACCUCCAACUGUCACAAGAGGGAGAAAGCGACAGUUGAUCAUGCUGGAGCAGCAGAACCCAAAACGGAUAAGGAAGUUUGCAAUACCUUCACAUUUAUGGCUCAGUAUGUGUUUCUUGGGACAGCACUUGUCUGGUCAGAUGAAUGUCAUCUUCCUUGUGUCAUCUCUUUGGAGAGCAGCCACCCAUGGCAGCAACAUGACUUAGGGCAUCGGGAACAGAAGGGAAGAGUCAGCUGAUUCUGUUGUCCUUUACAUGAGAACCCUCUCCUUCACUGCAGCAAUCUAACACAGUGAAGAGGACAUUUUGUGGUCUGCGAAAAUCCUAGGCCUCAUAGCAGCAUCCCUCAAGUUCCUGUUGACAGGAAGAUCCACCGCUCCCGCUCUCAGCCCCUUCUAAGCUCUUCAUCAGUGAGACUUGCCAGCCUCUUGUGCAUUGAGAAUUGUCCCUGCCAGCUCUGCCUUUCACAGAUGUAGCUUUCGCAAAGAACCUGUGACCAUUCUCAGGGAACCAUGGAAAAAAGGCGGCAUCGGGCCAGGAAUUUUUUUUCCCUCCCAAAUGUGGUAUUUACCGAGGCAGCUGCAACGCUUCCUCUCCCCUGAGCAGGCUGCACACUCACUGCCUCUGUUCUUCAAACUGGGAAGAGGCCUCUCCCAGGGGUAAUCUGCAUUUUAGGUGGAUUUCUCCAAAUUCCCAAAGCCUACAGCCUACAGUAUGAGUUACUAAUGAAGUCAGCCUACAGCCUAUAGUAUGAGUUACUAAUGAAGUCACUUUAUAUCCAGUGGCACUGAGCUACAAUGAUUUUACUCCUUAAUCUUGCUCCCUAACCAUGCCAGGCAUGGCUAAGAGUAGAAUCUGUCUCCAAAGGAACUGCUUCAGAUGGGGUAGGGUUGAAUUCUGAGGACCUGAGGAGCUGGGGCAGAAGAAGAAGUGCCUGAGAUGCUGACGGUGAUUGACAGUUAUGAAGCCCUUUUGGCCCCACCCUAAGUCCCCACCAUCUUCCUAACAGAUCUCAAAGGACGAUUGUUAACUUGCAUUCUUCAGAAGCAUACAGUGAGGCAAGGCGGAGCUACACUGGUCACUAAAAGUCCCAAGCUAAAACACA